rnacentral:rRNA from 1 species
GCCGAACGCUGGCGGCGUGCCUAAUACAUGCAAGUUGAGCGCUGAAGGUUGGUACUUGUACCAACUGGAUGAGCAGCGAACGGGUGAGUAACGCGUGGGGAAUCUGCCUUUGAGCGGGGGACAACAUUUGGAAACGAAUGCUAAUACCGCAUAAAAACUUUAAACACAAGUUUUAAGUUUGAAAGAUGCAAUUGCAUCACUCAAAGAUGAUCCCGCGUUGUAUUAGCUAGUUGGUGAGGUAAAGGCUCACCAAGGCGAUGAUACAUAGCCGACCUGAGAGGGUGAUCGGCCACAUUGGGACUGAGACACGGCCCAAACUCCUACGGGAGGCAGCAGUAGGGAAUCUUCGGCAAUGGACGAAAGUCUGACCGAGCAACGCCGCGUGAGUGAAGAAGGUUUUCGGAUCGUAAAACUCUGUUGGUAGAGAAGAACGUUGGUGAGAGUGGAAAGCUCAUCAAGUGACGGUAACUACCCAGAAAGGGACGGCUAACUACGUG